rnacentral:rRNA from 1 species
AGCAGCCGCGGUAAUUCCAGCUCCAAUAGCGUAUAUUAAAGUUGUUGCAGUUAAAAAGCUCGUAGUUGAAUUUCGGGACCAAUAUGUCGGUCGUGCCUCGGUACGUACUGGUGUCAUUGGUUUCUCCCUUCUGAGGAUCCUUGAUGUCAUUAAUUUGGUGUCUUGGGGAAUCAGGACUGUUACCUUGAAAAAAUUAGAGUGUUUAAAGCAGGCAUACGCUUGAAUACAUUAGCAUGGAAUAAUGAAAUAGGACGUUCGAUUCUAUUUUGUUGGUUUCUAGGAUCGACGUAAUGAUUAAUAGGGAUAGUUGGGGGCAUUAGUAUUCAAUUGUCAGAGGUGAAAUUCUUGGAUUUAUUGAAGACUAACUACUGCGAAAGCAUUUGCCAAGGAUGUUUUCAUUAAUCAAGAACGAAAGUUAGGGGAUCGAAGACGAUCAGAUACCGUCGUAGUCUUAACCAUAAACUAUGCCGACUAGGGAUCGGAUGAUGUUAAUUUUUAAUGACUCAUUCGGCGCCUUAAC